rnacentral:rRNA from 1 species
AAAGGAAUAGACGGGGGCCCGCACAAGCAGUGGAGUAUGUGGUUUAAUUCGAAGCAACGCGAAGAACCUUACCAGGGCUUGACAUACCCUUGACCGGCAUAGAGAUAUGCCUUCUCUUCGGAGCAGGGGAUACAGGUGGUGCAUGGUUGUCGUCAGCUCGUGUCGUGAGAUGUUGGGUUAAGUCCCGCAACGAGCGCAACCCCUGUUGUUAGUUGCCAGCAUUCAGAUGGGCACUCUAACGAGACUGCCGGUGAUAAAUCGGAGGAAGGUGGGGACGACGUCAAAUCAUCAUGCCCCUUAUGUCCUGGGCUACACACGUACUACAAUGGCGAUUACAGAGGGAAGCAAGACAGCGAUGUGGAGCAAAUCCCCAAAAGUCGCCCCAGUUCAGAUUGCAGGCUGCAACUCGCCUGCAUGAAGUCGGAAUUGCUAGUAAUGGCAGGUCAGCAUACUGCCGUGAAUACGUUCCCGGGCCUUGUACACACCGCCCGU